rnacentral:rRNA from 1 species
ACGGAAGCCUUCGGGUGGAAGACAGUGGAUCUAGCGGCGGACGGGUGAGUAACACGUAGGCAACCUGCCUGUAAGAUGGGGAUAACUCCGGGAAACCGGAGCUAAUACCGAAUAAUCGUUUUGCUCGCAUGAGCAAAAGGUGAAAGGUGGCGCAAGCUACCGCUUACAGAUGGGCCUGCGGCGCAUUAGCUAGUUGGUGAGGUAACGGCUCACCAAGGCGACGAUGCGUAGCCGACCUGAGAGGGUGAUCGGCCACACUGGGACUGAGACACGGCCCAGACUCCUACGGGAGGCAGCAGUAGGGAAUCUUCGGCAAUGGACGAAAGUCUGACCGAGCAACGCCGCGUGAGUGAAGAAGGUUUUCGGAUUGUAAAACUCUGUUGUUAGGGAAGAACAAGUAUCGGUUAAAUAAGCCGGUACCCUGACGGUACCUAACGAGAAAGCCCCGGCUAACUACGUGCCAGCAGCCGCGGUAAUACGUAGGGGGCAAGCGUUGUCCGGAAUUAUUGGGCGUAAAGCGCGCGCAGGCGGUCUCUUAAGUCUGAUGUGAAAGCCCACGGCUCAACCGUGGAGGGUCAUUGGAAACUGGGAGACUUGAGUGUAGGAGAGGAAAGCGGAAUUCCACGUGUAGCGGUGAAAUGCGUAGAGAUGUGGAGGAACACCAGUGGCGAAGGCGGCUUUCUGGCCUAUAACUGACGCUGAGGCGCGAAAGCGUGGGGA